rnacentral:rRNA from 1 species
UACAGAGGUGGCAAGCGUUGUUCGGAAUGACUGGGCGUAAAGGGCGCGUAGGCGGCCAUCUAAGUCAGACGUGAAAUCCCCCGGCUUAACCUGGGAACUGCGUCUGAUACUGGAAGGCUUGAGUAUGGGAGAGGGAUGUAGAAUUCCAGGUGUAGCGGUGAAAUGCGUAGAUAUCUGGAGGAAUACCGGUGGCGAAGGCGGCAUCCUGGACCAUUACUGACGCUGAGGCGCGAAAGCUAGGGGAGCAAACGGG